GCAAAGACAGCCAGGAGGUUUGCCUAGAAGCAGCCACCCUUUAAAGAGUGCGUAAUAGCUCACUGAUCGAGCGCCCUUGCGCUGAAGAUGAACGGGGCUAAGCGAUCUGCCGAAGCUGUGGGAUGUCAAAAUGCAUCGGUAGGGGAGCGUUCCGCCUUCACGGGAAGCAACCGCGAAAGCGGGGGUCGACGAAGCGGAAGCGAGAAUGUCGGCUUGAG
rnacentral:ncRNA from 1 species